rnacentral:rRNA from 1 species
GUAGGUGGCAAGCGUUGUCCGGAAUUAUUGGGCGUAAAGCGCGCGCAGGCGGUUCUUUAAGUCUGAUGUGAAAGCCCACGGCUCAACCGUGGAGGGUCAUUGGAAACUGGAGAACUUGAGUACAGAAGAGGAAAGCGGAAUUCCACGUGUAGCGGUGAAAUGCGUAGAGAUGUGGAGGAACACCAGUGGCGAAGGCGGCUUUCUGGUCUGUAACUGACGCUGAGGCGCGAAAGCGUGGGGGAGCAAACAGGAUUAGAUACCCUGGUAGUCCACGCCGUAAACGAUGAGUGCUAAGUGUUAGGGGGUUUUCCGCCCCUUAGUGCUGCAGCUAACGCAUUAAGCACUCCCGCCCUGGGAGUACGACCGCAAGGUUG